rnacentral:rRNA from 1 species
UUUUUAUUGAGAGUUUGAUCCUGGCUCAGGACGAACGCUGGCGGCGUGCCUAACACAUGCAAGUCGAGCGAUGAAG